rnacentral:rRNA from 1 species
AGCUCCAAUAGCGUAUAUUUAAGUUGUUGCAGUUAAAAAGCUCGUAGUUGGAUUUCUGCUAAGCGGUGCAGGUCUGCCACUCAUGGUGUGUACUUGCAACGUUUGGCAUCUAUUCGAGAUUGGGCGUUGCACUUAAUUGUGUGGGUCUAGUUUCGGAGCUGAUACUUUGAGAAAAUUAGAGUGUUCCAAGCAGGCGUACGCCUUGAAUACUGCAGCAUGGGAUAUCGAGAAAGGACUUCGGUCCUAUCUUGUUGGUUCUCGGGAUCGAAGUAAUGAUUAAUAGGGAUAGUUGGGGGCAUUCGUAUUUAACUGUCAGAGGUGAAAUUCUUGGAUUUGUUAAAGACGAACUACUGCGAAAGCAUUUGCCAAGGAUGUUUUCA